rnacentral:rRNA from 1 species
CGGGGGGGGGGGGCAAGCGUUGUUCGGAAUUACUGGGCGUAAAGGGCGUGUAGGCGGUCCGGGCAAGUCCUCCGUGAAAUCCCACAGCUCAACUGUGGAAUUGCGAGGGAAACUGCCGGACUUGAGUCCCGGGAGAGGAGAGUGGAAUUCCCAGUGUAGCGGUGAAAUGCGUAGAUAUUGGGAGGAACACCGGUGGCGAAGGCGGCUCUCUGGACCGGCACUGACGCUGAGGCGCGAAAGCUAGGGGAGCAAACGGGAUUAGAUACCCCGGUAGUCCUAGCCCUAAACGAUGAGCACUUGGUGUGGCGGGUAUCGACCCCUGCCGUGCCGAAGCUAACGCAUUAAGUGCUCCGCCUGGGGAGUACGGUCGCAAAGGCUG